CUGACAGUCUUGGAUGCUGAAAGCCUCCAGUUUAUCCACAGAGCAGGGACAGCACAGGCUGUGGCAGUGCAGGGGCAACACUGAUGUGAAAAGACCAUCUCCCUGCAUUAGCAAGCCGCUCAUUGUCCAUGCAUAUCCAUCUCCUGGUCUCU
rnacentral:sRNA from 1 species